rnacentral:lncRNA from 1 species
CGAGAUUGAGAUUCUAUUGGCGCAUUUUUUUAGAGAUUGGCACUAUCUAUGGAAAACGGUACGUUAACCAUGUUAUACCACAUCCCAAAAGCCACCACGAAAAAGAUAAUUUUUUCGGGCAGUUUCUCUACCAAAAAUUCAAGAAAAUUGACCACCACCAACGAAGAAAAAAGCUACUUGAAUUAGAGUUUUCAAAAUAUAGAAUUUUUGGAGAUUUUCUUUGGCUACCAUAUUGAAGCAUCAGCCACCGGAAUGAUACAUUUUCCCGGGCAAUUUUCUACCCAAAAACAACAAAGAAAAUACCAAAAAUGAAGAAAAACUUGGACACAACAAACAAAUCAGAAAAAUAUCCAUAGCAGCAGUUGCCAACAAGAUAUAUAUAACCAGAGAGCAAGAAGAGAGGAAGAAGCGGCUCCAAAUCUAGGCGGAGGUAUUCAAAGAUCCACCUAAAUUCGUGCUAUAUAUCCAUCUCUCUCUGUAUGCAUAUGUAGGAUGUAAGCAUACACACACAAGGGUUGUUGAUUUGGAAGUUAAAGGAUGAAUCAUUGGGCAAACGGGAGAGGCAACCACCCUUGAGAAAUCCCAAUCUCCCUUCUUGAGAAAUCCCAAUCUCCCUUCACCCCCAUUUCUUGCAAGGUCAGAUGGCAAGAAGCAAUUAACAACCAUUGAGGUAGGUGAAGCAUUUCAUGAUCUCUUAGUACUUCCCUUGAGGUAGCACUGCAUUCCAGACCCCCAAACAAGGCCGCUUGAGCAAUCGCCAGCAUUAGCAAGAAGCACCCGGUAAUAUACUACGGAUUCUCACGUUUGUUCAAUGGGUUAGCAUUAAUUUGAUUGAGAAAAGAUAUGAUGGUGGCGUGUUGGCAUAGAAAUGAAUAUUUCAGUCAGAUUUUGCAACUUGUUUUAUUUUGCAGAAGAAGGUAUUUUUGUUGACUUUGUGUAAAUUGAUCUCAUCCCCGUAAACAGGUUGUAGAAGAUAUUGGUUAAUCAUUGGGCCUCUUGGAAGAAUUAAUGGCUAGAAAUAUGGGCUAGUUGAUGGGCUUCAGUGAAUUGUCCCAAUAUUUAUUUAAAAUUGGGCCGUUAUUAUUCUUUUAGUUUAAAGUGAUCAGCCCUUUUACAUUCUUAUUAAAU